rnacentral:ncRNA from 12 species
UUAUAGCUCAGUGGAUAGAGCACUAGAUUCCGGUUCUAGGUGUCGUGGGUUCGAUUCCCCCUAA